UCCCUGAUGGUCUAGUGCUUAGGACUCCACACUUUUACUGCCAAGACCCAGGUUAGAUCCCUGGUUGAGGAA
rfam:Ovis aries breed Texel chromosome 2, whole genome shotgun sequence.